AUGCUCGCUGUCUGGGCGUGGACGGCGUCGCCGGCUUGCGUCCCGCGCGUCAAUUGGGUCACCCUUCCUGCGCGUGCGGGCGCCCAGCCGGCCUUCGGGCGUCGCGGACUGGAGCGGCGGGUCAUCAUUCACCUGUCGAUCCACGAGGACCCAACACAAGGACCAAGGGUGGUUUCCAAGGGCUAUGACUUCACGAAAGGCGUCGUCGACGGUGAGCGGCAGGCUCGCGAUCCGCGAGAGUGCAUCUCCAGGCCCGUCAACAAUCACCGCAGUGACCGCAAUGACGACCGCGACAGGCGCCGCGAUGACCACGACCGCAGGGGCCGCGACGGCUCACGCAACAGGGAGGGGUGGGGCGCGCGCAUCAGGCGCAACCUCUCCAGGAAGCCAUGGGACUCCUCGCGCGAUCAGGGCCGCGACAAUGGGCGCGACGGCCGCCGUGAUGACGAUGCUGGUCGCGACCGCGAUGGUCGCCGGCGCUCUGCCGUUGUGCCGGCCGUCCUGGCGGGCUCUGGCUCCUCUAGCGCCGAGGCGGCCCGCGCGACUAAGAUGCUUCCUCUCCUUGCCGAGCCACUGGACGUUGGGCGCGGCCGCAGCACCUCUCGGCACCCCUCACCGCGUGCUGCCAGGCGUCGCUCCCAGGAGGCCCUCACGCCACCGGUGUCGCUGCCACUGUCACCUACUAUCGGUGUCAAAACCGGCGGAUCUCGGGUAGGGGGUCCCGAAAUGUGCGUCUUGGCCGGAUGGUAA
rnacentral:rRNA from 1 species